rnacentral:rRNA from 1 species
GACGAACGCUGGCGGCGUGCUUAACACAUGCAAGUCGAGCGGUAAGGCCCUUUCGGGGGUACACGAGCGGCGAACGGGUGAGUAACACGUGGGUGACCUGCCCUCAGCUCUGGGAUAAGCCUGGGAAACCGGGUCUAAUACCGGAUAUGACUCCAUGACGCAUGUUGUGGGGUGAAAGCCUUGUGCGGCUGAGGAGUGGGCCCGCGGCCUAUCAGCUUGUUGGUGGGGUGAUGGCCUACCAAGGCGACGACGGUAGCCGGCCUGAGAGGGCGACCGGCCACACUGGGACUGAGACACGGCCCAGA